CAAACGGCCCUUUUCAGGGCCAUCAAUAUAUAUUUUACGUAGCGA
rfam:Trichomalopsis sarcophagae strain Alberta scaffold2717, whole genome shotgun sequence.